rnacentral:rRNA from 1 species
AACGCUGGCGGCGUGCCUAAUACAUGCAAGUCGAGCGGACCCUUCGGGGUCAGCGGCGGACGGGUGAGUAACACGUGGGUAAUCUGCCCAACUGACCGGAAUAACGCCUGGAAACGGGUGCUAAUGCCGGAUAGGCAACGAGGAGGCAUCUCCUUGUUGGGAAAGGUGCAACUGCACCGCAGAUGGAGGAGCCCGCGGCGCAUUAGCUAGUUGGUGGGGUAACGGCCUACCAAGGCGACGAUGCGUAGCCGACCUGAGAGGGUGGACGGCCACACUGGGACUGAGACACGGCCCAGACUCCUACGGGAGGCAGCAGUAGGGAAUCUUCCGCAAUGGGCGCAAGCCUGACGGAGCAACGCCGCGUGAGCGAAGAAGGCCUUCGGGUUGUAAAGCUCAGUCACUCGGGAAGAGCGGACGAAGGAGUGGAAAGCCUUCGUCGAGACGGUACCGAGAGAGGAAGCCCCGGCUAACUACGUGCCAGCAGCCGCGGUAAUACGUAGGGGGCAAGCGUUGUCCGGAAUCACUGGGCGUAAAGCGUGCGUAGGCGGUCGCGUGUGUCUGGGGUGAAAGUCCAGGGCUCAACUCUGGGAUUGCCUUGGAAACUGCGUGACUUGAGUACUGGAGAGGCAAGGGGAAUUCCGCGUGUAGCGGUGGAAUGCGUAGAUAUGCGGAGGAAUACC